CGGCGAACGGCUGAGUAACACGUUGGAACCUGCCUCAAACUCAGGGAUAGCCUCGAGAAAUCGGGAUUAAUACCAGAUGCCCCAGUAAUGGGAAAGCUUUUGCGGUUUGAGAGGGGCCUGCGGCGUAUCAGGUAGUUGGUGAGGUAAUGGCUCACCAAGCCAUUGACGCGUAGCUGGUGUGAGAGCACGACCAGCCAGAAUGGGACUGAGACACGGCCCAUACUCCUACGGGAGGCAGCAGUGAGGAAUCUUCCGCAAUGGGCGAAAGCCUGACGGAGCCAUACCGCGUGUAGGAUGACACCUUUCGGGGCGUAAACUACUUUUCUGAAGGAAGAAGUUCUGACGGUACUUCAGGAAUAAGGGUCGGCUAAUUACGUGCCAGCAGCCGCGGUAAUACGUAAGACCCAAGCGUUAUCCGGAAUCACUGGGCGUAAAGCGAUCGAAGGCUGACCUGUAAGUGAGAUGUUAAAUACCCACGGCUCAACUGGGGUGCUGCAUUUCAAACUGCAGGACUAGAGGAAUGCAGAGGUAACUGGAAUUUUCAUUGUAGGGGUUAAAUCCGUAGAUAAUGAAAGGAACACCGAAAGCGAAGGCAUGUUACUGGGCAUUUCCUGACGCUGUGCGAUCGAAAGCGUGGGGAGCGAAAGGGAUUAGAUACCCCUGUAGUCCACGCCCUAAACGAUGGAUACUCGGCGUUCGGAUUUUAAUCGAUCUGAGUGCCCAAGCUAACGCGUUAAGUAUCCCGCCUGGGAAGUACGGCCGCAAGGCUAAAAACUCAAAGGAAUAGACGGGGAUCCACACAAGCGAUGGAGCAUGUGAAUUAAGCAGACAAUAGAGCGGGGAACCUUACCAGGGAUAGACAUCCUCGGAAUUGUCAGGAGACAGAGAAGUGCCCUUCGGGAACCGACUGACAGGUAUUGCAUGGUUGUAGUCAGCUCGUGCAGUGAGGUGUUCGAUUCAGUCCGUUAACGAGCGCAACCCUCGUCGUAUGUUAUGAUGUUCAGGCGGGACUACCAGUUUUACACUGGAGGAAGGUGAGGAUGACGUCAAGUCAGCGUGGCCCUUAUGCCCUGGGCGACACACGUGCUACAAUGGUCGGUACAAAGGGUUGCGAAGUCGUAAGGCGGAGCCAAUCCCAUUAAACCG
rnacentral:rRNA from 1 species